UGUCCAGUAACUCCUAUCCCUACCUCCUCGCAGUGCUGCCUGGAGUACGAGUAACCAUAGUAAAGAUCGGGUCGUAUACCGAUAGGGAAGG
rnacentral:ribozyme from 1 species